rnacentral:antisense_RNA from 1 species
UCCAGGGACCCCAGACAGCAUUUGGUCCCUGGCUCUCUGUCCCCACACAGCCACCCUACCCCAUGCUGCCUUUUACUGAGGCACACAGCAUUUUAGACAGGAGAACCCUGAUGGCAGAGGCUGGGUCUUAUGGGACCCUGUCUCCUUAAGGGCUUAGUCUGGGGCUGGAGCCUCUACAGAUGUUUGAGCAAAGGCGGGAGGCAAGGGAGGGAGGCCGGAAGCCACCCCAGGGACUCUGAUGUCCACCCUGCGGCAGCCUGUCUGUGGACAGAUGAUGCAGGAAGCUCACGGAACUCCCAAGCAGACAUCAGCAGAGAUGGAGCCUGGUUAUUUUUCAGCACACAAAAGCCGAGGGCCCCUUCCUGAGAUGCCUGCCUCAGCCCGGUAGUGAAACUGAACCCACCUCAGACAGGAAAGGCUUGGCGGGCUCUGCUUGGUGGGAAGUCCACAGUGGUGCCUCGUCCCUGAGAUGAGAAUCAUCACCUCCGCUUUACAAAUGAGAUGACCAAGGGUCAGAGAGGAGAAAGGACCUCCCCCUAGCCCUAAGUCACCUGCCUGGAGACUGAGGGAGCCAUAAUGCGAAUCUUCCCCUUGCCAAACCCACUGACUCCAUUACGCUGCCGCCAGAGAACCCGAGCCCCGCGGCGAGAAAGUGGUAGAGCUGGGCCUCGAACCUGGGUCCUGGACUCUUGGUCCUGUGCUCCUUGUGGAAGAUGGAACUGCUUCUUCAGCUGCCUCACCUGCUCCAUCCUUACGACUUCAGGUGUCACCUCCCAGCUGGGUUUAAGGGGCUGAGUUGUCCACUCUGAUCUUCUCCAAGCACAAACUGCAAAGCAGACCAGAAAGCAGCUGGUCCUGACUCCAGGGCUACCCACAGAUGCCCCUGCACCUCCUCAUGCUCCUGUGCUCCUGUGUGAUGUCCUGGGCUGUGUGAUGACAAGGCUGGGGAAGUCCCAAUCUGAAGAGACCAAGCGCUCUCUGACAAUGUACUGAUCUAAUCACGUACAACUUAAGACAAAGUUAACCCGUCUCAUUGAAUGAUAUGGUAUAAUGGUGAUGACUGAGCUGCCCAGUAAUUGUGCUCAACCAGGAAGCAGCUCAUGGAGUCAGUUGUAAUUAGUAUUUGUGUUACACAGGUGAGUGGGUGGGUGAGGGCUGGGCAGAGGGAGGAGGAAGUGGGUGGGGCAGGAAGCUCUGGGGACUCCUUGGAUCCAUGAACCCCAUGCCAGCCAACUCAUGUGGUUGAUCCUGUCUAACCUUCAUGAUGACCUCAUGAUGUACUGUUAUCUCUCUUCUAAGGUGAGAAAACAGGCUCAGAGAAGUCCAUUCACUUGUCCAAGAUCAGACAGCUAGAAAAUGACAGAGCCAGGGUUCCCUCUUCAGCCCAGGCAAUGUCUUGGACAGCAGAAGGAACAGGAAUAGGGCUGGGAGGCUGGAGAUCCACAUCUCGGUCCCAGUUCUAACACUGCCUUACCCUGGGCCUCAGCAAGUAGCAUCCCUCUUCAGGAUACAAAGAGAUAGUAUGUCUGUCAGGUUGCAGACGGCUGAGGGUGUGGACUUGGGAGCUAGGCUCCUUGGAUUCUAAUCCUUGGGCAAGCUACUUCACCAUCUGAGCCUCAGUGUCCUCAUCUGUAAAAUGGAGAUGACAACAGUGUCUCCCUCAUAGGCUUGUGAAGAUAAAACGAGUAACAAGACUUA